rnacentral:tRNA from 1 species
GCCACUUUUGCAUAGCCCGGUAGUGCGGCUGACUUGUAAUCAGCAGGUCGGGGAUUCGAAUUCCUCAAGUGGCUCCA